CCUACGGGAGGCAGCAGUCGAGAAUCAUUCACAAUGGGGGAAACCCUGAUGGUGCGACGCCGCGUGGGGGAAUGAAGGUCUUCGGAUUGUAAACCCCUGUCAUGUGGGAGCAAAUUAAAAAGAUAGUACCACAAGAGGAAGAGACGGCUAACUCAGUGCCAGCAGCCGCAGUAAAACAGAGGUCUCAAGCGUUGUUCGGAAUCACUGGGCGUAAAGCGUGCGUAGGCUGUUUCGUAAGUCGUGUGUGAAAGGCGCGGGCUCAACCCGCGGACGGGACAUGAUACUGCGAGACUAGAGUAAAUGAGGGGGAACCGGAAAUUUCGGUGGAGCAGUUGAAUGGGGAGAU
rnacentral:rRNA from 1 species